AUACGGAGGGUGCAAGCGUUAUCCGGAAUCACUGGGUUUAAAGGGUGCGUAGGCGGCCAUAUUAGUCAGUAGUGAAAGGUUGCAGCUUAACUGUAAGACUGCUAUUGAAACUGUAUGGCUUGAAUUAGGAUGAGGUAGGCGGAAUGUGACAUGUAGCGGUGAAAUGCUUAGAUAUGUCAUAGAACACCGAUUGCGUAGGCAGCUUACUAGACCUAUAUUGACGCUGAGGCACGAAAGCGUGGGGAGCGAACAGGAUUAGAUACCCCUGUAGUCC
rnacentral:rRNA from 1 species